UACGGGGGGAGCAAGCGUUGUUCGGAUUUACUGGGCGUAAAGGGCGCGUAGGCGGCCAGCACAAGUCAGUUGUGAAAUCUCCGGGCUUAACCCGGAAAGGUCAGCCGAUACUGCGGGGCUAGAGUGCAGAAGGGGCAACUGGAAUUCUCGGUGUAGCGGUGAAAUGCGUAGAUAUCGAGAGGAACACCUGCGGCGAAGGCGGGUUGCUGGGCUGACACUGACGCUGAUGCGCGAAAGCUAGGGGAGCGAACGGG
rnacentral:rRNA from 1 species